GGGUGAGUAACGCGUAGGUAACCUGCCUGGUAGCGGGGGAUAACUAUUGGAAACGAUAGCUAAUACCGCAUAACAUUGACUAUUGCAUGAUAGUCAAUUGAAAGGUGCAAAUGCACCACUACCAGAUGGACCUGCGUUGUAUUAGCUAGUUGGUGGGGUAACGGCUCACCAAGGCUACGAUACAUAGCCGACCUGAGAGGGUGAUCGGCCACACUGGGACUGAGACACGGCCCAGACUCCUACGGGAGGCAGCAGUAGGGAAUCUUCGGCAAUGGACGGAAGUCUGACCGAGCAACGCCGCGUGAGUGAAGAAGGUUUUCGGAUCGUAAAGCUCUGUUGUAAGAGAAGAACGAGUGUGAGAGUGGAAAGUCACACUGUGACG
rnacentral:rRNA from 1 species